rnacentral:rRNA from 1 species
UACGAAGGGGGCUAGCGUUGUUCGGAAUUACUGGGCGUAAAGCGCACGUAGGCGGACUACUAAGUCAGGGGUGAAAUCCCGGGGCUCAACCCCGGAACUGCCUUUGAUACUGAAAAUCUUGAGUUCGGGAGAGGUGAGUGGAACUGCGAGUGUAGAGGUGAAAUUCGUAGAUAUUCGCAAGAACACCAGUGGCGAAGGCGGCUCACUGGCCCGGUACUGACGCUGAGGUGCGAAAGCGUGGGGAGCAAACAGG